UUGACGGGGCCGCACAAGCGUGGAGCAUGUGGUUAAUUCGAAGCAACGCGAAGAACCUUACCAGGUCUUGACAUCCCGAUGCUAUUUCUAGAGAUAGAAAGUUACUUCGGUACAUCGGUGACAGGUGGUGCAUGGUUGUCGUCAGCUCGUGUCGUGAGAUGUUGGGUUAAGUCCCGCAACGAGCGCAACCCCUAUUGUUAGUUGCCAUCAUUCAGUUGGGCACUCUAGCGAGACUGCCGGUAAUAAACCGGAGGAAGGUGGGGAUGACGUCAAAUCAUCAUGCCCCUUAUGACCUGGGCUACACACGUGCUACAAUGGUUGGUACAACGAGUUGCGAGUCGGUGACGGCGAGCUAAUCUCUUAAAGCCAGUCGUAGUCCGGAUCGUAGUCUGCAACUCGACUACGUGAAGUCGGAAUCGCUAGUAAUCGUGGAUCAGAAUGUCACGGUGAAUACGUUCCCGGGUCUU
rnacentral:rRNA from 1 species